UUAAAACAAGACUGAAAGUUUGGGGUGGGUCAUUCACAUGCGCUGCUUUUGCUAUGCUUGAAACCCAUUUGUGGCUUUUAAUCUUAUGAAAUCGCUGUGGGAUUUCAAUAUAUACUAAGUUCAAUGGAUUCCGGUGUUAUGUUGCGUUGCCUCUAUUGGAUUACUAUAUUGAUCGCCACGCUUAUUCAUGGAGUAAACGCGGAUAAAAGUUCAGCCCGUUGUUUGAAAUCCGAAUUCUGGAAUGGAGAUGUUGCACAAUGUGUACCUUGUCAAAUAUGCAAACAGUACCCGAAAACUCCAUCAUGUGACACAUGCCCACCCAUAGAGCCUUCGGAUUCCUGGAGGGUGGCAGCAAUUACCAGUUUAUCUGUCCUGGCAGCCGUGGUUGUUUGCGGAGCCUUGCUCAUAGGCAUUCUAGUACAUCAAUUCAGGUCCAAGAGGACUUUACGGGAACCGAUUGAAGAGACAACAGGACCCCUUUAUCAAGUAUAGGAUCUCCAUAAGCUCAUGGAACUCAAGCUGACAGAAAUGAAAAUGGACUGUUACUCCAGUGAAUUAAUGCUCCAGUUGGUAAACGCUGGCUGGUACCUCAACCACAGAGUGUUCUAUGAGUAGCAUCUGAUUUGUCUAAUUUAUGACAUUAGUAGGCUAUGUCAUGCAUAGCAUAUGGUUAUGCACAAAAGCUGCACUGAGACCUUCCUUAUCACUCACUGUGCAGAAUAGGUUUCCAAGCCUUGGUGCUAAGUGACAUCCUAUGGACAGCAUGAUAGCAUAUAUUAUAUAUUCCUUUUUUUGGAACCCUUAAAAUGCUUUAGUGAGAGGUCUUGUUACACUGUUUUUGCAGAGAUUUGAGGCCAUUCAUGUUGCACUUAAGAGUGCAUUGUAGAUGCAUUCCCACUUGAAUAUUCCUUGUUAGAUUUUUGAAAACGAUAAACAAAUAACCACAAACUGUUUUAAUAUAGUAGACUUAGAGAUCGACUUUUUUACACAAAUAUGCCUCCCUAAACUGAUUUAGUAUGGCACAGCCAUUUGAAUGUACUUGUUAUCAUUGUUUGUAUAGUUUAAUUAUCUAUUUUUAUAGUGUUGGAAUAUUACGCACUGUAUAGAUGUAGCCCUUUGUAUAACAAUGUUCUGACACUGACUGGCUCAGCAGCCUGUCUAUGGCAUUGAUGAACAUUCUGGAGACACUGAAAAUCAGCGAAGCAACAGAAGCCAAUUUCCUGAAGACCAGAGUCGCCAGCUUACGUUAACAAACUCUGAGAAAGAGUCGCAGGUGUCAGAUUCCAUCUUAGUUUUGCUGCCUUUAUACGCAUAAGAGAUUAGAUAGUUUAGAGUGAUAUUUACAUACAUGUAUUGCAAUACAUUUAAUCUCUCAUGUUUUAUCAUUUCAGCUUACUAAAAUGUUUUCAAAGGAUAAAACCCAACAGUUUUAGGUGUGUGUAGCCAGCUAUGGGCAUUAGGGAAUGUAUAUAUUUAUAUACAGCAGAUGCUAAGGAGUAAGUAACUUGUUUGAAUGACUUAAAGCAUGUUUAGCAAGAGGUUACCUGUGAAAACCUGUGAAGAGCACAACCCAGAAUCAAAAGAUAUAAGAAAUUAUAUUUUUAGAAUUUGAUGCAUUGUUUUCAAGAAAACCAAGCACAUUUUAUACCCCAGUUCCUGAGAAUACUGUAUGUACCUCAUUGUGAAUCACUGCCAUGUUUGUCAGAAAUCUAGAAACAUCAAGAAGCUAGUCCAGAAUCUUGAUGAACAUUAACCUGUGAAGCAUGCACAGCGCUGUCACAGUCUCGAGUAAAGUUGGUUGUGUAUUUCUGCCUUUACUCAUAAACAAUUACUCCACAGACUGCAGAGGAAACUAUGCAUUUCAAUACAAUAAAGAGAAAACUAAUGUACUGUA